rnacentral:rRNA from 1 species
AGCGAACGCUGGCGGCAGGCCUAACACAUGCAAGUCGAACGAACCCUUCGGGGUUAGUGGCGGACGGGUGAGUAACACGUGGGAACGUACCCUUAGGUUCGGAAUAACUCAGGGAAACUUGAGCUAAUACCGAAUGUGCCCUUCGGGGGAAAGAUUUAUCGCCUUUGGAGCGGCCCGCGUCUGAUUAGCUAGUUGGUGAGGUAAAGGCUCACCAAGGCUACGAUCAGUAGCUGGUCUGAGAGGAUGGCCAGCCACACUGGGACUGAGACACGGCCCAGACUCCUACGGGAGGCAGCAGUGGGGAAUCUUGCGCAAUGGGCGAAAGCCUGACGCAGCCAUGCCGCGUGGAUGAUGAAGGUCUUAGGAUUGUAAAAUCCUUUCACCGGUGAAGAUAAUGACUGUAGCCGGAGAAGAAGCCCCGGCUAACUUCGUGCCAGCCGCCGCCGUAACAC